rnacentral:rRNA from 1 species
UACAGAGGUCCCGAGCGUUGUUCGGAUUCAUUGGGCGUAAAGGGUGCGUAGGCGGCGCGGUAAGUCGGGUGUGAAAUCUCGGAGCUUAACUCCGAAACUGCAUUCGAUACUGCCGUGCUUGAGGACUGGAGAGGAGACUGGAAUUUACGGUGUAGCGGUGAAAUGCGUAGAUAUGCGGGAGAACACCGAUGGCGAAGGCAAUCCCCUGGGCCUGCACUGACGCUCAUGCACGAAAGCGUGGGGAGCAAACAGG